CGUAAGAGGGAGAGUGGAAUUUCCCACGGUGUAGCGGGUGAAAAUGCGUAGGAGAUUGUGGAGGAAACACCCAGUGGGCGAAGGGCGACCUCUCUGGUCUUUAACUGACCGUUGAGGGCGCGAAAAGCGUGGGGAGCGAACCAGGAUUAGAUACCCCUGGUAGUCCCCCGCCGUAAACGAUGAGUGUUAAGUGUUAGAGGGUUUCCGCCCUUUAGUGGUACAGCAAGCGCUUUAAGCACUCCGCCUGGGGAGUACGGUCGCAAGUCUGAAACUCAAAGGAAUUGGCGGGGGCGCGCACAAGCGGGGGCACAUGGGGUUUAUUUUGAAGCCACGAGAAGAACCUUCCCAGGUUUUCACAUCCUGUGACAACCCUAGAGAUAGGGGUUCCCUUUCGGGGUCAGAGUCACAGGUGGCGCAUGGUUGUUGUCAGCUCGUGUCGUGAGAUGUUGGGUUAAGUCCCGCAACGAGCGCAACCCUUGAUUUUAGUUCCCCGCAUUCAGUUGGGCACUCUAAGGUGACUGCCGGUGACAAACCGGAGGAAGGUGGGGAUGACGUCAAAUCAUCAUGCCCCUUAUGACCUGGGCUACACACGUGCUACAAUGGGCAGAACAAAGGGCAGCGAAGCCGCGAGGGUAAGCCAAUCCCACAAAUUUGUUCUCAGUUCGGAUCGCAGUUUGCAACUCGACUGCGUGAAGUCGGAAUCGCUAGUAAUCGCGGAUCAGCAUGCCGCGGUGAAUACGUUCCCGGGCCUUGUACACACCGCCCGUCACACCCCGGGGAGUUUGUUACACCCGAAGUCGGUGAGGUAACCUUUUGGAGGCAGCCGCCGCAAGGUGGGACACGAUGACUGGGGUGAAGUCGUAAACAAGGAGCCUUGGCGGCC
rnacentral:rRNA from 1 species